rnacentral:rRNA from 1 species
UACAGAGGGGGCAAGCGUUGUUCGGAAUUACUGGGCGUAAAGGGCGCGUAGGCGGCCUGUUAAGUCGAACGUGAAAUCCCUGGGCUCAACCCAGGAACUGCGUCCGAUACUGGCAGGCUUGAAUUCGGGAGAGGGAUGCGGAAUUCCAGGUGUAGCGGUGAAAUGCGUAGAUAUCAAGUGGAACACCAGUGGCGAAGGCGAGUCCCUGGACAACACCUGACACUGAGGCACGAAAGCUAGGGGAGCAAACAGG